GCAUGUUCCUGGCGCAAGAGAAAGACGUCAUAGGUCUCGGCUGACGCACGUGCUUCCUGUACCAGAAGGAGCAAUACCUGAAGUGUCCGCUAGGUGCGCGCUCUCUUACAACGGCAGCUUCUCAGCUACAGAUCACAGGCGACACGGCGACCAUCCAUGCUGAAGUGUUUGAUUUCUCCUCCAUGGCUACUGACAGCAUGUGAAGGAGGCUGUGGGGGCUGCCGCUGGACAUGCUGCUGCUGUCUGGCCUCUCUAUCUGGGCACGGCGCUGAGUGCAGGAGACAUAGCCUGUGGAAGAGAAGAUAUUCUGAAGCCGAACCCCUCUUUGCUUUCCCUUUAUCCGCACUAACAGCCGACCCCUCAGUCCUUGGAAACUACAGAGCCGGAUGAAGAAGUCACUCGAUUCCUCUGUAUCGCUGGUUCCGCUAAUUAUUUCAGCAAGCCCAUGCAGCUCCCUUCCAGCGAACCGAUCACCGAGUAAAAGUGUGACUGCCGUGGACUGCUCGUUUUAUGCUGAAGCAUAAAGAUCUGACACAUGUACCGACACCCGUGAUACUUGUCAGCACGCUCAGUACAGCGGAACCAGCAAGCCCGUGCAGCUUAGCAGUAAUGGGUAGCGCUAACUUUCCUAAACGCACACGCUGUACGUGUGCGAGUAUUGGAGUUGGCUGCUGCUUGCCUGAGUCGCUGAGAAAGCUGCUGCCGCUGUACUGAGCGUGCUGACUUCGAAAGUUGAAGUAAAUUCGAAGUCGAAGUAUCCAAAAAAUUACUUUGAAUUUUGCAUUUUUUUACUUCGAAAAUUCCCUCGAAUUCACUUCGACCCUUGAUAAAUCUGCCCCUAGUAGUUUUUUAUAUGACCCAUGUACGAUAAGUCGCACUGCAGGGUGCUGGCCUGAUUAGAAAAAGCACUCAGCAAUGAAUAAAGGGGGAAUAAAAUAUAAUAUAAAAUA